UACGGAGGGUGCAAGCGUUAUCCGGAUUUACUGGGUUUAAAGGGUGCGUAGGCGGGUCUUUAAGUCAGUGGUGAAAUCUCCCGGCUCAACCGGGAAACUGCCAUUGAUACUAUUGAUCUUGAAUUCAGUUGAGGUGGGCGGAAUGUGUCGUGUAGCGGUGAAAUGCUUAGAUAUGACACAGAACACCAAUUGCGAAGGCAGCUCGCUAAACUGACAUUGACGCUGAGGCACGAAAGCGUGGGGAUCAAACAGG
rnacentral:rRNA from 1 species